UAGCUUGGGCUUCUGUUCACAAAUCUUUCACCAUUUACCAAAGACUUCCGUGGAGAGGGGCGUCAACAAGCUCUCAAUAUUUUUGGGAGCUCUGUUUUGACCUAAAUU
ensembl:snRNA U5 U5 spliceosomal RNA